UUCUUUGCCAAUACUGGUUAUUCCAUUCUCUUCCAAACACCUUUUAUCAUAACUUGUUAUUCUAAUUCCAUUUCUACACUUGUGCCCUGCACUUAUAAAAAGGGUAGUUUCAGAAGCAGCCAAUAUUCACAACACACACGUUAAAUUUUUCGUAUAGUUGCGAAAAGAGAGUUAAUUUAGAGAAGUAUGGCAUCAAUGAAGGCGGAAAGGCAAGUCGGCACUCAGCUGUUUGGGCAGGCCAAGAAAGAACCUGCCGUUGCCAAGGCUGGUGAUGCCAAAGCUCCGGCAUCUAAAGCCACCCCAAAGAAGGCUGCAGCCGCACCAAAGUCUCCGGCACCCAAGAAGAAGGGUAAAGGUGGCAAAUCUGCAGCAAAGAACUGACCAAAUUGCUGAUGAAGCAUGCAGCAAAAGCAACGAUUUCAUUUCGUUUUCUCGUAAUAUUUUGUCUUUUUGGAUUUUGUAAUCAGCAAGGUGUGUAAGCAUGGUAACUUUGAUGUAAUCCACGUAAACCAUCCCAAUGAAAUAACAACUCAUGUUUAGCUA